AGUGAACGCUGGCGGCAGGCCUAACACAUGCAAGUCGAGCGGCAGCGCGGUGUAGCAAUACACUGGCGGCGAGCGGCGGACGGGUGAGGAAUGCGUCGGAAUCUGCCUCUUUGUGGGGGAUAACGUAGGGAAACUUACGCUAAUACCGCAUACGACCUACGGGUGAAAGUGGGGGACCUUCGGGCCUCAUGCAGAGAGAU
rnacentral:rRNA from 1 species